rnacentral:rRNA from 1 species
AUGGUUGGAUGAAAAAUUUACUUUCUUUGUUUUAAAUAUAGAAUUUGAUUUUUGAGUCAAAAAGCUUAAAUAUUAUUAAAGGACGAGAAGACCCUAUAGAACUUUAUUUUAGUAUUUUUAUGUUUUAUCUUGAUAAUAAUUAUUUUUUAAUUAUCCUAAAAUUGUGUUGGGGUGACAAAAAAAAAUUAAUAACUUUUUUUACUUUUAUCAUUUUUAAUGAAUUUUUGAUCCUUUACUAAAGAUAAUAAGACUAAGUUACCUUAGGGAUAACAGCGUUAUUAUUUUAGAGAGUUCCUAUCGAUAAAAUAGUUUGCUGACCUCGAUGUUGGAUUAAAAUAAGUUUCAGGAGCAGAAAAUUGAU